GCCUUUGUAGCUCAACGGUUAGAGCGCCUCUAUAUCUUUCACGUCGCGGUAGAUUUUUCAUGAGGAGACGUGGAUUCGAAUCCCACCGGAGGCA